rnacentral:rRNA from 1 species
AUAAUCAUUUGUCUUUUAAUUGAAGUCUGGAAUGAAUGGUUGGAUGAAAAAUUUACUUUCUUUAUUUUAUAUAAAAAAAUUACUUUUUAAGUUAAAAAUCUUAAAUAUUUUUAUAGGACGAGAAGACCCUAUAGAACUUUAUUAUUGGAAUAUAAUUUUUAUGUUGUUUAUAAUUAACUUUUAUAUUAAAAAUAAUUUGGUUGGGGUGACAAAAAAAAUUUAAUAACUUUUUUUAUUUAUUUCAUUUUUAUAUGACUUUGUUGAUCCUUUUUUAAGGAAAAAAGAUUAAGUUACCUUAGGGAUAACAGCGUUAUUGUUUUUGAGAGUUCUUAUUGAUAAAACAGUUUGCGACCUCGAUGUUGGAUUAAAAUAAGUUUCAGGAGUAUAAGAUUGAAUACUAGGUCUGUUCGACCUUUAAAUUUUUACAUGAUCUGAG